GGUUGUAGCUCAGUGGUACAGUGCUUGACUAGCAUGUGUGAGGCACUGGGUUCAAUUCUCAGCACCA
rnacentral:tRNA from 1 species